GUCUAUGGCCACGCCACCCUGAACAAGCCUGAUCCCAUCUGAUCUCGGAAGCUAAGCAGGGUUGGGCUUGGUUAGUACUUGGAUGGGAGACCACCUAGGAAGACCAGAUGCUGUAGGCG
rnacentral:rRNA from 1 species